rnacentral:rRNA from 1 species
UACGUAGGGGCCUAGCGUUGUCCGGAAUUAUUGGGCGUAAAGGGCUCGUAGGCGGUUUGUCGCGUCGGGAGUGAAAACCUUGGGCUUAACUCAGGGCUUGCUUUCGAUACGGGCAGACUAGAGGUAUGCAGGGGAGAACGGAAUUCCUGGUGUAGCGGUGAAAUGCGCAGAUAUCAGGAGGAACACCGGUGGCGAAGGCGGUUCUCUGGGCAUGAUCUGACGCUGAGGAGCGAAAGUGUGGGGAGCGAACAGG